UGAGAGUAUACUGAGAAUAAGCAUCGGCUAACUCCGUGCCAGCAGCCGCGGUAAUACGGAGGAUGCGAGCGUUAUCCGGAUUUAUUGGGUUUAAAGGGUGCGCAGGCGGUCAGCUAAGUCAGUGGUCAAAUCGUGAGGCUCAACCUCAUCCCGCCAUUGAUACUGGUUGACUUGAUUGCGGUCGAGGUAGGCGGAAUUCGUCGUGUAGCGGUGAAAUGCAUAGAUAUGACGAAGAACACCGAUUGCGUAGGCAGCUUACCAGGCCGUUAAUGACGCUCAUGCACGAAAGUGCGGGGAUCGAACAGGAUUAGAUACCCUG
rnacentral:rRNA from 1 species